ensembl:snRNA Gm23038 predicted gene, 23038
UGAUUGCUUCUGCAGCAAUAUACUAAAAUUGGAACAAUACAGAAAAGAUUAGCAUGGCCCCUGUGCAAGGAUGACAUGCAAAUUCGUGAAGUAUUCCAUAUUUUU